CAGGGCUCUACAGAAUUAUGUACACUGGAGUUCUGCACUCAAUGGGUUGAGCUCAGAGGCUCAAUGUGUUUGGAAGUCCGCACCACAAGUCCUGGAGCAAACAGGCGCGCUGGCUCCCUCUCGUGGUCAUCAUAGAGAAGACACGGGAAGAAAAGAGUGUAGAAUUCCCGAAGCCGUGGACCUAAGCAAUGUGGUCUGCAAACCAGAGUCUGAGAAGUGUUGUAUUUUGCCGGGUAAGGUAAAAAGAACUGUACACCGGAGGGAGCUUAUAAGACAUCAACGACGGAAUGUUCAGGCAACAAAAGAAGACAGGACAAGACAAGACAAAAUGAAUCACAGGCUCCAGGCUCAGGGAGAGACCCUUCUUCGUGGGAAGAAGACAGAGGACAGAGGGAGAUAACUGGUGACGUCCCUUAACAGGUACAUGUGAUCUUGGGAGACACACAAGCAUAUGGAAGAUGUGACGAUAAAUGAAGGUGGGAUUCAUUUUGCUACUUCUAUGAGGUCAUCCAACAAGGAGGACUUGGCAGUGAUAGAAAUGUUGGGAGGGGCAUCUCACCCAUGUUCCUUGAGUAAGCCCAAUAAAUUCAUUGUUUC
rnacentral:lncRNA from 1 species